AGAGUUUGAUCCUGGCUCAGGAUGAACGCUAGCGGCAGGCUUAACACAUGCAAGUCGAGGGGCAGCGGGAGUAGCAAUACUUGCCGGCGACCGGCGCAAGGGUGCGUAACGCGUGAGCAACAUGCCCGUAUCAGGGGGAUAAUCCAUGGAAACGUGGUCUAAUACCCCAUAGUAAGUUUUUGGGGCAUCUCAAAGAUUUUAAAGCUUUGGUGGAUACGGAUUGGCUCGCGUGACAUUAGCUAGAUGGUAAGGUAACGGCUUACCAUGGCUACGAUGUCUAGGGGUUCUGAGAGGAAGGUCCCCCACACUGGAACUGAGACACGGUCCAGACUCCUACGGGAGGCAGCAGUGAGGAAUAUUGGACAAUGGAUGGAAAUCUGAUCCAGCCAUGCCGCGUGCAGGAAGACGGCCCUAUGGGUUGUAAACUGCUUUUGUAUGGGAGCAAUAAGGUCUACGUGUAGACCGAUGAGAGUACCAUACGAAUAAGCACCGGCUAACUCCGUGCCAGCAGCCGCGGUAAUACGGAGGGUGCAAGCGUUAUCCGGAUUUAUUGGGUUUAAAGGGUGCGUAGGCGGUUUGAUAAGUCAGCGGUGAAAUAUUUCAGCUUAACUGGAAGGGUGCCGUUGAUACUGUCGAGCUUGAAUUUAGUUGCUGUGGGUGGAAUGUGUGGUGUAGCGGUGAAAUGCAUAGAUAUCACACAGAAUAUCGAUUGCGAAGGCAGCUCACAAAGCUAAUAUUGACGCUGAUGCACGAAAGUGUGGGGAUCAAACAGGAUUAGAUACCCUGGUAGUCCACACUGUAAACGAUGAUAACUCGCUGUCGGCGAUACACAGUCGGUGGCCAAGCGAAAGCGAUAAGUUAUCCACCUGGGGAGUACGACCGCAAGGUUGAAACUCAAAGGAAUUGACGGGGGCCCGCACAAGCGGAGGAACAU
rnacentral:rRNA from 1 species